UACGUAGGGUGCAAGCGUUGUCCGGAAUUAUUGGGCGUAAAGAGCUCGUAGGCGGUCUGUCGCGUCUGCUGUGAAAACUCAGGGCUUAACCCUGAGCUUGCAGUGGGUACAGGCAGACUAGAGUGCGGUAGGGGAGACUGGAAUUCCUGGUGUAGCGGUGAAAUGCGCAGAUAUCAGGAGGAACACCGGUGGCGAAGGCGGGUCUCUGGGCCGUAACUGACGCUGAGGAGCGAAAGCAUGGGGAGCGAACAGG
rnacentral:rRNA from 1 species